CACCAGUGACUUCAACUGUCACUUUUCUGUCAUGCAGCUGACUACAUGUGUAAGCUGUUCAAACUCUGCCUGUCCUUAUCAUUCAAGACUGUGUGUUAUGAGGACUGCUUCCCUGAGAAUGCUGAGUGCAUUCUGGAAUAUUCCAAAUGUGUGCCACUUCCAUACGGACGCCCGCAAGAGAGUUCACUCAUCAGCAGUCCCAGCCUGCUUUUGCAAGUCCGAUGGGGGAUGAUCUAUGUUAAGGUCGUGUAAGCAAGAAGGCAAGUGCUGCUGCAGGCAAUGUUGCGAUAAGCCUGCAACAGAUAUAGCCGGCCUUCUAAAAUCCAAGAAUGAGGAAUGCCUGAAACAAGGAACAACUCGUGUGUGUGUAUGAGUGUGCAUGUGAGGGUAUGCGUGUGGGAGUGUAUGAGUGGUGUGUGUGUGUGUGUGUACAACUUGUGCUCUGAUUGUGCACCAGUUUGCUCAUGGUUAUGUGUUAGCCUGUACACUUUUUGUUUUGUUUUAGGUGGGUGAAUAUUUAUAUAUGUAUGGGUGUGUGCUGUAAUGUAUGUGUUUGUGUGUAAAUCCGUUGAGUUCAUAUCAGAUGAGGGCAACACCAUGCCAGUUUGAUCAGGGUAUAAGCAUGUAUGCUUAUGUAUAUUAGCCUGUAUGCUUUUUGUUUCGUUUUAGGUGGGUGAAUAUGUGUAUGGGUGGGUUGUUUUGUUGCUGGUUGUCUUUAAACAGUAAACUUGUUUAAAAUA